AGUCGAACGAUGAAGCCCAGCUUGCUGGGUGGAUUAGUGGCGAACGGGUGAGUAACACGUGAGUAACCUGCCCUUAACUCUGGGAUAAGCCUGGGAAACUGGGUCUAAUACCGGAUAGGAGCGUCCACCGCAUGGUGGGUGUUGGAAAGAUUUAUCGGUUUUGGAUGGACUCGCGGCCUAUCAGCUUGUUGGUGAGGUAAUGGCUCACCAAGGCGACGACGGGUAGCCGGCCUGAGAGGGUGACCGGCCACACUGGGACUGAGACACGGCCCAGACUCCUACGGGAGGCAGCAGUGGGGAAUAUUGCACAAUGGGCGCAAGCCUGAUGCAGCGACGCCGCGUGAGGGAUGACGGCCUUCGGGUUGUAAACCUCUUUCAGUAGGGAAGAAGCGAAAGUGACGGUACCUGCAGAAGAAGCACCGGCUAACUACGUGCCAGCAGCCGCGGUAAUACGUAGGGUGCGAGCGUUAUCCGGAAUUAUUGGGCGUAAAGAGCUCGUAGGCGGUUUGUCGCGUCUGUCGUGAAAGUCCGGGGCUUAACCCCGGAUCUGCGGUGGGUACGGGCAGACUAGAGUGCAGUAGGGGAGACUGGAAUUCCUGGUGUAGCGGUGGAAUGCGCAGAUAUCAGGAGGAACACCGAUGGCGAAGGCAGGUCUCUGGGCUGUAACUGACGCUGA
rnacentral:rRNA from 1 species